AGUGAACGCUGGCGGUAGGCCUAACACAUGCAAGUCGAACGGCAGCACAGUAAGAGCUUGCUCUUACGGGCGGCGAGUGGGGGACGGGUGAGUAAUACAUCGGAAUUUACUUGUUCGUUGGGGAUAACGUAGGGAAACUUACGCUAAUACCGCAUACUACCUACGAGUGAAAGCAGGGUAUCGUCGCAACGUGCUCUAGUGAAUGAGCCGAUGUCGGAUUAGCUAGUUGGCGGGGUAAAGGCCCACCAAGGCGACGAUCCGUAGCUGGUCUGAGAGGAUGAUCAGACCCACUGGACGUGAGACACGGUCCAGACUCCUAGGGGAGGCAGCAGUGGGGAAUAUUGUACAAUGCGCGCAAGCCUGAUCCAGCCCUACCGCGUCGGUGAAGAAGGCAUUCGGGUUGUAAAGCCAAUUUGUUGGGAAAGAAAAGAAGCAGGUUAAUACCCCGCUGUUCUGACGGUACCCAACGAAUAAGCACCGGCUAACUUCGUG
rnacentral:rRNA from 1 species